UUGGAGGGCAAGUCUGGUGCCAGCAGCCGCGGUAAUUCCAGCUCCAAUAGCGUAUAUUAAAGUUGUUGCAGUUAAAAAGCUCGUAGUUGAAUUUCGGGGUCAGCAGGUUGGUCGUGCCAAUGGUAUGCACUGGCCUUGCUGAUUCCUCCCUCUUGAUGAGCCGUAAUGUCAUUAAUUUGGUGUUGCGGGGAAUCAGGACUGUUACUUUGAAGAAAUUAGAGUGUUUAAAGCAGGCAAGCGCUUGAAUACAUUAGCAUGGAAUAAUGAAAUAGGACGUUUGAUCCUAUUUUGUUGGUUUCUAGGAUUGACGUAAUGAUUAAUAGGGAUAGUUGGGGGCAUUAGUAUUCAAUUGUCAGAGGUGAAAUUCUUGGAUUUAUUGAAGACUAACUACUGCGAAAGCAUUUGCCAAGGAUGUUUUCAUUAAUCAAGAACGAAAGUUAGGGGAUCGAAGACGAUCAGAUACCGUCGUAGUCUUAACCAUAAACUAUGCCGACUAGGGAUCGGAUGAUGUUAAUUUUUUAAUGACUCAUUCGGCACCUUACGGGAAAC
rnacentral:rRNA from 1 species